ensembl:lncRNA
AUAGCACUCUUUUUUGAAAUGCAGAGCCCAGGACAAGGCCUAUGUUCAAGAUGCAGCUCUAACCACUGGAGGAUGAAAAGAUGCGUUAGAAGCUUUCUGUGCUCUGGCUUCACUACAUGAAGUGAAAGCAUUUGGUGUGCCUGGGGAUCAUCAAGAAAGCAGGAGUUGUAGCAGUAGAGUGGAUUUUAUGGGAAGAACAGAGUGAUGCAUGAAAGAUGAAUUCAGAGAGGUUGCUGGGAGUUGGGUGGUGGAAGAACAUAGAAGCCAUAUUAAAGAAUUUGGAUUAUUAUAUCCUGUGGGCAGGAGAGAGCCCCUAGAAAGUUGUCUUAAUUGAAAGGAUGUGAACAAAACUGGGUUUUAGGAAGAAAACUCUGGUGGCGUUUCAGACACUAUUCAAGAUGGAGAGACUAGAAAUGAGAUAAAUACUCAGCAGAUGGCAGAGUUGUGGUGAGACUUGUGGAGGAGGAGUCCCUGUUGUAGCUCAGUGGUAACGAACCUGACUAGUAUCCAUGAGGACUCGGGUUCAAUCCCUGGCCUCGCUCAGUGGGUUAAGGAUCUGGCAUUGCCCUGAGCUGUGGUGUAGGUCGAAGGCAUGGGUCGGAUCCUGCGGUACUGUGGCUGUGGCAUCGGCUGGCAGCUGUAGCUCCAAUUCAACCCCUAGCCUGGGAACUUUCAUGUGCUACAGGUGCAGCCCUAAAAAGCAAAAAAAAAAGCAAAACCUGUGGAGGAGCUAAAGAGGGUGGUAGUUAUGGGAAGAACAGGACACGUUUAAGGGCAUUAGGAUAAGGCUGAACUGCUAAGACACAGUGACCGCUCAGAUUGGGGACCUCAGGAACAGGAGGACAACAAGAUGCCCCUGGAGUUCCUGAGAAGAUGGCUGAGGGGAAAGAGCAGGGCUGUAGGUCAAGAUAAAUAUAGGUUCUUUUGAGGGAGGAGUUGGAAGUAGGGAUGUUGUCUGGGGCGGAGAAUUGUCUUGGUUAGUUGGCUCCUUUUAGCAGCAAGACUGGCCUGGUGACCACAGAGAUACACGGCUAUUCAGUUAGCACACGCUGGGUUUCUUCACCCAGACUCUUCUUGCCAUGGACUCACCUACUCUUCAGCUUCCUGACGAGCUCUGUCCCAUGUCCACAUUCUGGUAGCUCUCUCACUUGACUUUGACUUUGCUAUCUUUUGCCCAGAUAUGGUGUCAACCUCCCUUCACCACAUUGUCCCACUCCUUCCCUGCCUAGGGUCUGACUUUUCACCCAGAGCCUCUCUGUGCUGACUUUCUCCCCAGUUCCCAAGAUAACCCAAAUGGCUUGGAACUCACCGCACCCCUCUUCCUCCUUCCCUCCCUCCAUCCCUGCCCCCUUUCUUCCCUCCUCCCUUCCUUCCUUCCAUCCUUUCUUCUUCCCUUCCUUUGACACAUGUUCAGACCACACUGGAAAAGGUGUUCACACAGCUGGAUGUGAUAGAGAACAGCCUUGGAGUAAGCAUCCCCUACACAUUUUAGGAACCCUCCUUCCCAUCCCUGGAGGCACCCCAACUCUUGUCUGCCUGCUUACCUGAGACCUGGUAACUUCUCCUCACUGCAGGCUACAGGAGAUACCCACAAAGGAGGCUUCUCCCUCUGCUGGGCCCCCCAUCCAUGAUAGUCCUCUGUUUUCACAGCCAGAGGGACAGUCCCAAAUAGAAUCCCAACCCACACCCCCAUCAAAGGCAGGUGUUUCAGCUGCCAGGUUCUUCAGCCUCAAAACAGCUCCCCACAGACCAGUCAAGGCAGGGCAGACACUAGGUGAGGAUGUCAUGGAGACAAACCAGAGGAAUUAGGGGUAGGGUGGAGAAGAGGAAGCUGGAGGGGGCCUUGUUUCGUUAAACCACAGGCAGGACUGCCUGGUAGACAAUGGGAAGUACAAAUGCAGGGUUUAACGUGAGGAGAGAGAUGGAGACACCGAUAAGUAAUAUCAGUGUCUGCUUCACUUUUCAGCAGUGUCUAUAGAGAUACGAUAAUAGGAAUAAGACAACAAAGAUCUGGGAGGACCCACCCCAAAGAUCAUCUGGAGCACAGCUAAAAUGACUUAAGUCAUUUUUCCAAGAUGGCAAAUUCACUGCCACCUUGACUUCAUAAAGUAGAGCUGCCUCUUUAUUAUUAUGAAAUUCAGAUGCUAUGACUGUUUGUCAGGACAGCCACCUUGGGCAACAGGAAGGUGAAUGAGAUGGAAGGUGCAGAAACAAUGGAUGGUUUCUUGCAAGUUUCACUGAGACCUGAUCUGGAAAGGUCCAUAAACACCUACCAAAGAAAUUAACAAGCACAGUAUCCACUUUUUCUCUCAGUGUCUAUAUCAAAGAGAUCCUAGAUUGUAUGUUAAUUUAUCAUCUGUCUUUUGUACCAGGGCAUCACCAGGCAGUUGCACUGAUCUGAAAUAAAUGAUUAGGGGUAAAGUAGAUAUGAAACAAAGACUCCGUAAUGUGCCCACCAAAAAAAAUUAAGGUCCUAUUUCAUUUUAUAGUGUAGAUUCUGGAAAGAUUAUGAAGCACCAGAUUCUUUGAUGUUCUUGGAUAUAUUUCAGUGUUGUUAUGACAUUAUUAUCUCUUUUAUUCCUACACUAUUUCUGUUCUGCUGUAGUUACUGUCAUUGUGGAAGUCUCUCAUUACUUUUUUUUUUUUCUUUUAAAAAAUUCUUUUGAAUUUGACUCUGGUUGAAUUGUGUCUGUGUGUGUUGAUUUUACUAGAGUCGUUUUCUAGUUAGUUUGAAUUGUCUUUUUGAAGUUUUCUUCUCUGAUCCUUAAGAAAAAUGCUUUUUUCUUUAGGAUUUUAAAAUGUAUUUAAAUAUUAUGUUUUUAAUUUCUAUCUGUAUCAUAUUUUGGUCAGAAAAUAUAGCCUUUACAAAUUUAUCCUUUGGGGAAUUGAUUGAGAUUUUUCUGGUAUGUGCCUAGUUUUCAAUAAAUACCUUAUUAGCUAAACAUAAUUUUUACUCAAAUCCUCUAUAUCUUUAUUUUUUUCCAUUAGUCAAAUACAGAGAAGACGUUUGUUCCUGUUUUUAAGGUCAUACUUUGUAAGCCAGAUCUAGAGUAUUAUUUUCUGUGAAAUAUUGAUUUAGUCUUCAAAAUGAUUUUUAUAAAUAAAAUAAUAUAUUUUUGGCUGGAAAUUUUAAUGAUGACUCAGUUCUAAACCAAGACGAAUAAUGCCAAAUUCUUAAUUCAAGUUGUCUUCAGAGAAAUAAAGAAAAUAAUUAUCUAAUGUCCAGAAAAUGCUCCCUGGAAAGUUGCUAGCUAGCAUAGUAACAAAAGAUAAACAAAUAAAAUACCCUUUUAAAAAAGCCUAUCAGAAACAACAUACACAAGAAUCAUUUUAAUUUUUUUUUUUCUCUUUUUUAAGGCUGCACUCGUGGCAUAUGGAAGUUCCCAGGCUAGGAGUCAAAUCAGAGCUGCAGCUGCAGCCUACGCAAUAGCCAUGGCAACACCAAAUCCUUAACCCACUGUGUGAGGCCAGGGAAGGACCCCACAUCCUCACAGAGACAGUGUCGGGUCCUUAACCCACUGAGCCAAAAUGGGAACUCCCAUUUUAGUUUUAAUUUAAGCUAAAUUACAGAAUUUUUCAACUAAAUUCUUUUCACUAAGUCUAAGUCCUUUUUUACUAAGAAUUUUUAGAAUAAAAGCAACAAAGAUAAGGAGCUGUUGCAAUGCCCUUUCCACCUCAAAUUGUCCUCCUCAAAUUGAUCCCAGCAGUUUUUAGGAGAAAAAAGUCAUAAUCAGGUGGAGUGGGAAAGUGUGCCUCUUCUUCCUUUUUGUAAGCAACCUUAAAAAUGUAAUUUAAUGAAAAGACAAAAAAAAAAAAAAAAAGGAAGACAAGAGAUACCAAAUGGUGGCAAAGAUGUAGAGAAAAGGGAACUGUAGCUCACUGUUGGUGGGGGACGAAUGUAAAUUGGUGCAGCCACUGUGAAAAACGGAAUGAAAGUUGCUCAAUAAAUUAAAAGUAGAUCUACUGUAUAACCCAGCAUUUUUACUUCUGUGUAUGUACAUAUAUAUAUAUAUAUAUAUAUAUACAUAUAUGGUAAUAAAAAUAGAAUAUUAAAGAGAUACCUGCAGUCUUGUGUUCAUUGCAGCAUUGUUAGCAAUAAUCAAGAUAUGGAAACAACCUAAGUCUCCAUCAGUAGAUAAAUGGAUGAAUAUGAUGAAUAUAUAAUGGAAUAUAUUAUUCAGCCAUGAGAAAGAAAGAAAUUUCUGCCGUUUGUGACAACAUGGAUAAAUCUUAAUAACAUUAUGCUAAGUGAGAUGAGUCAGAUAAAGACAAAUACUGUAUGGUCUCACUCAUAUGUGGCAUCUAAAAAAAGCCAAACUCAUAAAAACAGAGAGUAGAAUGGUGGGUACCAGGGGCUGGGGGUGGGAAAACUGAGAUGUUAAGGGGACAAACUGCAAGUAGAUAAAGUUCUGCAAGAGUUCCCAUUGUGGCCUCACUCAGUGGGUUAAAGGAUCUGGCACUGCCAUGAGCUGUGGUGUAGGCUAGGAAUGGACCUUUAGCCUGGGAACUUCCAUAUGCCAUGGAUGCGGCCCAAAAAAAGACAAAAAAUAAUAAAUAAAUAAAUAAUAAAUAAAUUCGUUCUGGUGAUCUAAUGCACAGCAUAGAGAUGUAGUCAACAAUACCAUAUUAUAAACUUCCAAGUUGCUAAUAGACUAGAUCUUAAUUGUUCUCACUAAAAAAAGGAAAUGAUAAUUAUGUGACAGAAGUGUUAGCUAAUAUGAUUAAAGUGGAAAUCAUUUGCAAUAUAUAAAUGUUUCAAACCAACACACUGUACACCUUAAACUCAGGCAAUGUUAUGUGUCAAUUAGAUCUCAAAAAAUUACAUAUUAACCUCUGAUUUUGCUCACAUGCCCUGUUUAAAAACCUUUUUUUUAUAGCCACACCUGCAACGUGUGGAAGUUCACAAGCUAGGGGUCAAAUCAGAGCUUUAGCUGCUGGCCUACACCACAGCCACAGCAACGCAGGGUUCAAGCCUCGUCUUCAACCUACACCGCAGCUCAUGGCAACCCCGAAUCCUUAACCUACCAAGCAGGGCCAGGGAUCGAACCCUAUCCUCAUGGAUACUAGUCGAACUCAUUUCCACUGUGCUACAGUGGGAACUCCCAGUAAUUAACUCUUCUCAUAUUUGUCAGAUACCUAGAUUCUUUCAUAUGCCAUGGGUGCAACCCUGAAAAAAAAAUAAUAACACAGCCAGGAGAAAUGCCCAAAUAUACCUUCAGGACUGUUCUGGCAAGAUCUCACUACAGCCGAGACCCACUGGUCCAUCGAAGGUGAUAGAAACAGAACAGCUAUCCCAGGAGAUUCUGUUUCACCACCUGUUAUUUUCACUUCAUGUUGCUCAUUUCCAUCUAGCAAGUCUCACAUCACUGUCUACUUGACUGGAUCAGAGGCAGAAGCCUGGCUGCAAAGGAGCUUUUAGAUUUCCAGCUUCAGUAUUAUGGAAACACAUCAAGCAAGGCACUUGGAGAGCAUGUUCAAAGAACCAGUCAGUAGAAUCUGCUUCAAAAUUAUAAAAAAAGGAGGGAGAGAGGAAAGGAGGAAAGAAUAAAACCCUUUUUCUUCUAUGACUCUUACUGUUUUACUGUUACACUUAGAUUCUCAAUCCAACUUGAAUUUAUUUUGUUUAUGGUGAUGGGGUAAGGAUCUGACUUUAUUUUUUUCAAGUGGGUAUCUAGUUGUUUCUGUACCAUUUAUUAAAUAAUAAAUAAUCUGUUAUUUUCAACUGAUUGUUGCCAACUUUUCAUAUGUUAAGUUUGAAUUCUGCAAUCUUUGUUCUUUUCCACUGGUUUAUUUGUGUAAAUCCUGAAGUACCAAGAGUUGUUUUUUUUUUUUUAAAUACCCUUUUUUUUCUAUUUGAGAAUAAUCUUUUUUUUUUUUUCUCAGAUGUUUAGAAGCAGCUUGUCAGCUUUUAUUUUGUUUUGCUUUUUAAUCCUUUUGGCUGUUUAAGUGGGAUUCCAAAAAGUUAUGUGUUUAGAGAGAAGUAGAAACUGGCAAGGAACUGUCGUAUAGCACAGAGAAAUCUACUCAAUAUUUUGUAAUAAACCAAUAUGGGGAAAAGAUUGGAUAUAAGUAUAUGCAUAACUGAUUCACUUUGUUGUACAUCUGAAACUAAUACAGCAUUGUAAGUUAACUGUACUCUGAUGAAAUUUUAAAAAGAAGUGAUAUCUUUACAAUAUUGAAUGUUCCCUUUUAGUGAUACAGUAUUUCUCUCUGGUUGUUUUCCUUUUAUGCCAUAUUGUUUUCUCUCUCUAGAACUGGCAGAUUCCUUUUUAUUUCUAUAUUUUUCAUAGCUAUUGUUGAUACUAUAAAUUUGAUCCUUUUGCCAUGUCACUUCCUGAUGUUUAUUACUGGAUAGAUAGAAAUGUUAUUGUUGUCUGUUCAUUUACCUCACAUCAGCCAUCUUCCUAAUUCUGUUUUCACUUGAUUCUCUUGAAUUUUCUACAAAAACAAUCAUAUCACCUACUUAGGCUAAUUUUGUCGUUUCCCUAUUGCCUAUGUGCUGUAUCCACUGCAGUGCUUUUGUAAUUAGAGUUUUAUUGGUAUUAUCCAUGCUUGCUUGUUUACUCUUGUCUGUAGCAACUUUUCCCUACAGUAGCCAACUGGAGUAGUUGUGGCAGAGACGAUAUGACCUGCAAAGCCUAAAAUUAGCUGGCUCUUUAUAACAAAAGUUUGCCAGAUCCUGCCACAGAGUAUCUAUAAAUUAGAGAUUUUUUUUCUGGACUUUUAUUGUCUAAGUCCCCCUGAACAAACUUAAAUAGUAGCAGUAAUGAUGAGACUCUGACUUUGUCUGACUUUAAUAGGGAGACUGUCUCUGUUUUUCUAGUAGAAUAAUGGUUUCCUUUGGGAAAGAACCAACCAUUUCAGCCUUACUAAGAGGGAAUGCCUAUACAUGGAGAUGAACAUAUGGCCUAUCAUUUAAUAUUUUAAUUUAAUAAAUCACUGUAAUUUAAUUUAAUAAAUCACUGGGCUGUUCUUGCAUUCUUGGUUAUUAUGUAUUAUUCUUGAAAUAUGCUUCUGAAAUCAACUUUCUAAAAUUUUGUGAUUUUCUUUUUUUUUUUUUUUUUUUUUUUUGGCUGUGCCUGUGGCAUGUGGAAGUUCCCAGGCCAGGGAUCAAACCCAAGCCACAGCAGUGACCAGAGCCACUGCAAUGACAAUCCCAGAUCCUUAACCCUGCUGUGCCAUAGAGAACCCCCUAUUUGUGAUUUUAUAUCUAUAUUUGUAAGUAAUGUUGGUUUGUUGCUUUCUUAUUUUCUGACUGCUUUUAAAAUAGCAACUAUUGAUGUUGCUAUGUCAUCAUAAAUCUCCCUGAAGACAUCAAUUGGAAUUAAAAAAAAAAAACCUAUCUUCUACUCUUUUCAUUAACUUUGUUUCUUCAGGGAUCAUUAUUCUGGUUUUUAGUCUUGAUGCUCUCAUGUUCAUGUUUUUCCCUAUGGAGGAAGUUCAUGGGUUUGGUUAUUGAUUCUUAAUUUUAAUUGAAAGACUAGAAUAACAUAAGAAGGUGGUAUGAAUUUACCUGGCAGCUAAAUAAGCUGCUUUCUUGACUAGGAGGCUGACUGUAGGGUUCUGUAGAUAGACAUGGGGAUUGACAGACAGGCAGCUUUCCCCUUUGGACGAUGAUCAGACUGCUGAGUUUCAGCUCUCCUUUGACUGUUUGCUGAGGCCAGCAACACUUUGUGCUGGGGGUAGAGCUCCUGAGAGUUCUCAGUGCAUUGCACUGGAUGCGGACAUUUCUCUUCCCACCUCCUUCUAAUGGACGGAUAGAUAGAUGGAAGAUAGAUGGAGGGAAGGCAAGAAGGAGGGUUAGUUGGCUGGUUGAACUGGGGUCUGCAUGUCUCUUAUGGGGUCCCAAACUUUGUGAGCACUGCUCUACUUGGGUUUUGUUUGUUUGUUUUGUUUGCUCAAGUCCCAUCUUAGGAACCUGUGAGACACUCCUCCAGAGUUACAUAAGGCAAGGGUUUUUGCUGAUUUUAGACCCAAGGCAGUUGUGGUUUCUCAUUGUUCCUUGUGACAGAGAAGUUGAAUAGCCCAUAGUGUCAGUCCUUUGAAUAAUUACUCCUCCAAUUGGUUGCCCAUGGAUUCCCAUCCUUGCUGGCCCUGAGUGUGGAUCUUUUCCUGGGCUCUGUGUUUGACAGCCAUCCUCCAGACCCAGAGGGACCACUCCUUUCCCUAGCUCUAGUGAUUCUCUAUACAAUCUCUCUCCUUAACAUUUUCCAUAAAUUCCUCAAAGUUUUUGGCCUGGUAAUACCAUCUUUCCUUGCUUUCCAGGUUGAUAUGGAGUCAUUUCACUGGAAUUUUAGGAAAGGGUAUAUAAUCAUUGCUCAAUAACCACAGUUAUCAGUGCAUUUAAAAUAUUCCUUCCUGGAAAUUCCCGUCAUGGCUCAGCAGAAACGAAUCUGACUAGUAAUUAUGAGGAUACAGGUUUGAUCCCUGGCUUCGCCGCUUGGUGGGUUAAGGAUCUGGUGUUGCCUUGAGCUGUGGUAUAGGUCGAAGACAUGGCUCGGGUGUGGUGUUGCUGCGCCUGUGGCGUAGGCCGGCAGCUACAACUCCGAUUUGACCCCUAGCCUGGGAACUUCCAUGUGCCAUGGGUAUGGCC